ACCCACCUUAACAAUUCCAAGAUUCGCAUCAGUUUUGCAAUUCGGAAGGCCCAAAGUAGAAUUUUUAUUCGAAAAGUCUAAAACGCCCUUCAGUAUUCAUCUCAUUUUCGAUCUUCACCAUGAACAGUUUGCAGCAACUGCUGCCACACCGCCGCCGCUGCCACCGUUCUCCUCGCCAUCACUGCCCCUUUACCUUCAAGUUGAGAGCUCCGGCUGACCUCAUUGGACCGGCCUCGCACGGCGAGAUAUGGGCCUAGGGAAAUGCGCGACAACCUCUAGUCGCAGCGGUCCUCCCCAAAUCGAGCCUCCUCGAGGGCCAGGGGGCUCGCCUGGGCUCGUGAGCUCAAGGCGACCUCGCCGAGUCUCGACGAUCGCACGGAGGUUCCGUGAAGUCAUCGAGCCUCCGUGAGGUCGUCGACCCUCGGCGACCCUCGCCGUCAGCCCAGACUACCUUGAGGCGAGGUCGCCCUGAGCUCACGAACCCAAGUCGAGCUCCCUGGCCGUCGGAGAGGCUCGGCCAGGGGAGGACUGCCAUGAUUAGGGUUUGUCGCACGCCUCUCCAAGGCCAUAUCUCGCCGUGCCGAGACUGUCCCAAUGAGGUAGGUUGGAGGUUAUCCAAUCGAAGUCGAUGGCGGCGGCGGCAGCACCAGCAGCGACAGCGCCGAUUGAGGUCCAGGCCCUGAAUGUUCCACGGGAAUUCCCAAAUUCGUACACGGAAUCAAUCUUUGAGAUCGAAAUCUGGGAAAUCAUCUGACACCGCACUCUACUUGUUCACCUCGGCUACUCUCAAAUCCAGUUGUCAUUUAGUUCUACGGACUUUCGGGACCACGGUGCAAUGGACCAAUUUGAUCUGAUUGGUGUUACCUGGACUAUCAUCUCCUUGGGACUGCACAUUGAUUCUCCUCACAUUCUGGAUGUGAAAUUUAUAAAUAUUUACAUCCGAUAACCCACCGUGUGGGCCAAGAAGAGUCUUAUGUAAUCGCAACGAAACAUGAGCUCUCUUUUUUUUUUCCUUUUUAUUCUAAUUACAAUUGGAUUUACUUCAAAUGAAAGAAACAAUUUGAAAGGCCA